rnacentral:piRNA from 1 species
CCCGCGUGCUAUUCUCCUUGCAG